UACGUAGGGUGCGAGCGUUGUCCGGAAUUAUUGGGCGUAAAGAGCUUGUAGGCGGUUUGUCGCGUCUGCUGUGAAAAUCCGGGGCUCAACCCCGGACUUGCAGUGGGUACGGGCAGACUAGAGUGUGGUAGGGGAGACUGGAAUUCCUGGUGUAGCGGUGAAAUGCGCAGAUAUCAGGAGGAACACCUGCGGCGAAGGCGGGUUGCUGGGCCGACACUGACGCUGAUGCGCGAAAGCCAGGGGAGCGAACGGG
rnacentral:rRNA from 1 species